AAUAAGUAAAUUAUAUGGAGAGACAAGGAGAGGCGAGAGCAGGUACCCGGUGAAAAAUUCUGAGAGUGAAGUAGCGUGGAUGAGGGACAAUGAAGACAGUUGGUCGCUAAAGCCACUGCCUUCCUGAGAUGACCCAGGGACAGCCAGUCUCACCCCCAGACAUCCAACCUCUCACCUCUGUGAUGACCCGGUGUCCAGGCACAGACACACCCAGAGUCCUCCCAACCAGCUGAUUAGCACCUCACCAAGGAAAGGAAAUCAAGGUGUACUCUCUUCAGACUCUAGAUUUCCCUUCCUCCUCCUUUUAUUCAUGUUACAUAAAUUCCUGUUUUUAUCUCUGUUGGAUGAAAUCAGUCUAUUCUCUGGUUUCCUUUGUCUACAAUUUAAAGAGGGAGCCGACUAUUAACUUGGUGUCUCUGAGCUAUUGUUGGCCAAGCUCCCCUUAGAUGGGGUUAAUGAAGAAGCCUCCUUUUCCAAGGUGAUAGCUCAGAAGCAACUUCAAGAAUGAGUGACAAUGAGCCUACCCAGUGGAAAUGUGGGGAAAGUCAGCCAGAGUUCAUCUACUGACUUCAGUCUGGCAGAUGAGAGGCUUGGGUUUACCCCUCCGGUGGGUAAUGGAGAGAGAUGGAAUGUGCCACACGAAGCCCCACUAUGACUUUCUAUAAGGCCUGGCUCCUGUGCUGAAAUGAGAACAUACAUCCUAGCCGGGCAUGGUGGCUCACUCAGUAACUUUAUGGAUUUUGUGAAGAAAACAGGCAUUUGCGCUUCAAAGUGGGAAUGGGGGACCACUCACAACUUCCUGUACAAACACAGUGGCAUCCGGGACAAGAUAAUGAGCAGCCGGAAGCACCUCCACCUGGUGGAUGCUGGUUUAGCCAUCAACACUCCCUUCCCACUCGUGCUGCCCCCGACGCGGGAGGUUCACCUCAUCCUCUCCUUCGACUUCAGUGCCGGAGAUCCUUUCGAGACCAUCCGGGCUACCACUGACUAUUGCCGCCGCCACAAGAUCCCCUUUCCCCAAGUAGAAGAGGCUGAGCUGGAUUUGUGGUCCAAGGCCCCCGCCAGCUGCUACAUCCUGAAAGGAGAAACUGGACCAGUGGUGAUGCAUUUUCCCCUGUUCAACAUAGAUGCCUGUGGAGGUGAUAUUGAGGCAUGGAGUGACACAUACGACACAUUCAAGCUCGCUGACACCUACACUCUAGAUGUGGUGGUGCUACUCUUGGCAUUAGCCAAGAAGAAUGUCAGGGAAAACAAGAAGAAGAUCCUUAGAGAGUUGAUGAACGUGGCCGGGUAGGUGGGGACACAGAGCCAAACCAUAUCUCUGUGAAAGGAAAAUGAAAUCUCAGGACCCCAAUUCACUAUGCCAAAAGGAAAAACUUAAGCUGUGGCUGGGCACUGUGGCUCAUGUCUGUAAUCCCAGCACUUUGGGAAGCCAAGACAGGAGGAUCGCUUGAGCCCAGGAGUUCAAGAUCUGCCUGGGCAACAUAGUGAGACCAAGUCUCUACAAAUAAUUUUAAAAAUUAGCUGGGUGUGGUAGCACAAGCCUAUAGUCUCAGCUACUCAGGAGGCUGAGGUGGGAGGAUUGCCGGAGCCCAGGAGUUUGAGGCUGCAGUGAGCUAUGAUGGUACCACCCCACUCCAGGCUGGGCGACAGAGCAAGACCUUGCCUCUAAAAAAAAAAAAAAAAAAAAAAAAAAUUAAACUGAAAGCUUAAUUAAGCUGAGUCAUGCAAGAAACUGUCUUUCCUUUUGUUCCUAAGCCACAGAUAAAAG
rnacentral:sRNA from 1 species